UACAGAGGUCUCAAGCGUUGUUCGGAUUCAUUGGGCGUAAAGGGUGCGUAGGCGGCGCGGUAAGUCGGGUGUGAAAUCUCGGAGCUUAACUCCGAAACUGCAUUCGAUACUGCCGUGCUUGAGGACUGGAGAGGAGACUGGAAUUUACGGUGUAGCGGUGAAAUGCGUAGAUAUCAGGAGGAACACCAAUGGCGAAGGCAGCUCGCUGGGACGGUAUUGACGCUGAGACGCGAAAGCGUGGGGAGCAAACAGG
rnacentral:rRNA from 1 species